GCCUGGGUGGCUCAGUCGGUUGAGCGUCCGACUUCGGCUCGGGUCACGAUCUCGCAGUCUGUGAGUUCGAGCCCCGCAUCGGGCU
rnacentral:tRNA from 1 species